rnacentral:lncRNA from 1 species
CCUUGAAGGUAUCAGAUUGCUCGUUGAGGUCGAUCGGCACGCGGAUCGGCUCGUGGAAAAAACAGCCCGACGAUGGCAUAAUUUUUCCUUCGACACACGUAUUAAUGUUUUUUUUUAAUUUGGCAAUGCGUCUACGAACGCGUUUUACGGACGCGUUUAACGCACGCCACUAACGUGUGAUUGAUUCCUUGAUGACUGCGAUCUUAUAUAUGUGAUACGCACUUUCAAAUAAACACCAGAUAGAUAGAAAAAGAAAGAAAGAAAAGAAAAGAAAGAAAAGAAAGAAAGAGCGAGAGUAGGUAAGUAUGUGUUCUAAAGAAAAUUCGACACGCACUGAUCUAACACGACGACGACGACAAACGACGAGCCAAGUCUCGGGAGACCAGAACGGGCCGAUACGCCCGCGAUGACUGAUUCGCUUCUCAACUUCUCGAAACACCUCAAUUUUGGCAUUAACCUAGCUUGUCACGAGGUGAUCCUGCUUUUCUAUUGCUUGCUUGCUUGGUUACCUGUUCAGUUGCUUGCUUGCUUGCUUGCUUGUUUGGUUACUUGUUCAGUUACUUGGUUGCUUGUUUGCUUGCUUAUUCUGACGAGUAGGGAAGUCUAAUCUUCAACAGUUUGAUUUUAAUACGUAAGACGCGCGCAUGGCCUAUUCUAACUUAGCAAACUACUCUCGACUAUAUUUAAAUAUAGUGUCCCCCGUUGGUAGAGAGCGUCGUCCUCGACGAACACCGAACUCAAUGGAUAAUCGUCUUCUGAUCGACAGUACCGAUACUUAGAACCACGCAAGUAUUAAAAGUGUAAAAAAGUAUACACUUUGAAGGAAGAAAAUAAAAUCUGAAUUCGCAUCAUCAAAGAUCAUAUGUACAUAUGUCGAUAUACGUUUAUCUAGUGAAUAACGUAAUUCACCACACCGCUCUAUUAUCUCAUUUUACUGUUAAGGCGAUACGACAUCAACUUGAUUUAUUAGACAUUGGACAAAUUCGUCGAACAUAUGUGAGAGUCGCUUAUUAAGUUAGAAAAGCAUUUCAAAAAAGACGAAUAUAAACGAAAAAAAAAACACGUAUAUGUAACGCAUAUUUAUGCAUCAAAAUGUGCAGUAGAGUGGUGCAGUUUGUAAAAGUUUUCUUACCGGAAGUAAAAUACUUUGAGAGUCGAGAGGCCACAAUGGUUUUUCCGGUUUAGGUCUGGUGGCAUAAUAUGCUGCUACACCUGUGAUGACAAGGGCACCAGCUGCUCCACUCAAAUAUGGAAUGUAAUCUUCGAAGUUUGACUGUAACACUUGAUUUUCAAUUGUAAUAUUUUAAUUAUAUAUAGAACUGUAAUAAUUCA